AUACUUACCUGGCAGGGGAGACACCAUGAUCAAGAAAGUGGUUCACCCAGGGUGAGGCUCGGCCAUUGCACUCCGGUUGUGCUGACCCCUGCGAAUUCCCCAAAUAUGGGUCUCUUCCACCUUCAAUACCACGACUGAGGUGCCCUUGAGCAAGGCACCGA
rnacentral:snRNA from 1 species